rnacentral:tRNA from 1 species
GGGUUGUUAGCUCAGUUGGUAGAGCAGCGGACUCUUAAUCCGGUGGUCGCGGGUUCGAUCCCCUCACAACCCACCA